CAAAAUUAACAAAAUUGCAAAAUUCAAAGUAUUUCCAAAUUUUUGAGUUUUACACAUUCUUAUCAUUAAAUUAUUAGUUUAUUGUCAAAACCACUUAGCAAACAAUGCAUUGGAUUAAAUAUUACAAUAGAACACUUCAGAAAAGUUCUGCUUACAACCUUUCAUGAUGAUGAGAAACUAUUUUGCGCUGUUACAGGCUUUAGUAAAACAGAAUGGCAAGCUGUAUGUCAAAAGACAAAAAUCAAAGCAAUUGACAUUUGAUAAUUGUCUGGAGAGACAUUUGAAGGCAGACACACCUUUGGUUCCGAGUACUAUUAUUCAG